UGUUUUCACACGCACUCACGUCACACAUCCAAUUUCUCACGGCAAAAAAAAAAAAUCUGAUUUUGGGCAGACGCGUUCGUUCCUUUUCAAACUCCCCGAGGGUAGCUGGCGCUAAGGAACGCAUCUGUAACACUAUUCGCUGCAUAGACAUCUUAUUUACCCCAAGAAGUCCCGAAGUUAGCAACAGAAGAAGAGUUACAAAGAGAGACAACCGCGGUAAAAACUCGGGAAGAGAUUACAUCGCUGAAGAAAAUCUUCAUCUCCAAACUGAGCAGAGACUAGAUGGUGAAAUUCGUACGCAAGCUAUGUUCCAAAUGUAUGGUUCCAGCAGCUCUGCAAGGCCAUGAGGAGCCUUGUGAAAUUGCCUAUAAAGAGAAGGCAAACCAUUUGCCAGGUUAGUGUUUGGCUAUUAUUAUGAUCAUACACUGUGAUAUGUGAUAGAUAAAAUGUGAUAUUUAGCCUUGUACCUAGCCUUUUGCCACUUCAUGAGUAGAAACCUAAGGUUUGUGGUAGUCCUUCCAAAAGUGAGCUUCUGGUUGGAUUUCUUGCCCUAUGUGUCAAGCUGAUAUUGCUGCAUCAGUAUGUUAAACCAUUUAUGUUAACCUGAUAUGCUGUAUCUGUACAGGGAAAAAGUUGAACAUUGGGUUCACAACCAGGGCUAAACUUAACAGAUAUCUUGAUGAGGGUGACAUCACACCACGGCAGGUGGAUUCAUUCCAUGAAGCUGUGUUAAGUUUCCCAACAAGUGCUGUAGGCUAUACACUUAAGAAGCUGCCAAUGGAAGUGCCACUGAUCAAACACGCAGAAUUUGUAGAUGUGCGGCAGAGGGCUGAAAGUGGCAUUGAAGAUGUCCUGUACUUUGUUGAAAGGUUUCCCCAUCUCCUCCCAUACCAUGGGCCAGAGGAGCAUGACCACCUGGGUGAGGAGUUUCUGAAUUAUCAGACCAUGCCAACAACCUCCCUUCAGGACGAAACUGAGAUGGAAAGCUUCUGGGCUG
ensembl:lncRNA